rnacentral:rRNA from 1 species
GAUGAACGCUGGCGGCGUGCCUAAUACAUGCAAGUCGAACGAGUGGCGGACGGGUGAGUAAUGUCUGGGAAACUGCCCGAUGGAGGGGGAUAACUACUGGAAACGGUAGCUAAUACCGCAUACCAUCGGAUGUGCCCAGAUGGGAUGAGCUUGUAGGUGAGGUAACGGCUCACCUAGGCGACGAUCCCUAGCUGGUCUGAGAGGAUGAGCAGCCACACUGGAACUGAGACCCGGUCCAGACUCAUACGGGAGGCAGCAGUGGGGAAUAUGGCACAAUGGGGGCAAGCCGGAUGCAGCCAUGCGGCGUGUAUGAAGAAGGCCUUCGGGUUGUAAAGUACUUUCAGCGGGGAGGCGUUACCCGCAGAAGAAGCACCGGCUAACUCCGUGCCAGCCGCCGCGGUAAUAC